GCCAGCAUGGCGCAGUGGUUUGAGCAUUGAACUAUAACUCUGAGACCAGGGUUCGAAUCCUGGUUUGGCC